rnacentral:rRNA from 1 species
AUGAAGAUGCAUAAGAUCUCAUGCAUUCGUACUACUUUUAGAGAUUUCUGGGCACUUACAAGUGAGCAGCAUUUUGCCUAUUUUGGUCCUGAUUGGCAUCUUCCUAAUGACACUAUUUUUUUACAAGGGUUAGCUUCUAUUGGUUCCUCUGUUCAUUUUUUUCUUCUGACGAGAGGUUCUGCAUGUUCCCUCAGUGAAGCCUUAUGUUCUCCUCAAAGAAGCCUUAUGUCCAAGAAUAAAUUACCUACGUUUGAGUGCGAGCAAUGUACAACAAUUUCUAUUUUCUUCCCUCAAACGAGAAUUGGUGGUUGGUAUUCAACUAUUUUUUGUAUGCCGACAAUGUUUUUUCUGCAUAUCGAUUAA